rnacentral:rRNA from 1 species
AUUUAACGCUGGCGGCAGGCCUAACACAUGCAAGUCGAGCGAGCGGCGGACGGGUGAGUAAUGCCUGGGAAUUGCCCAGUCGAGGGGGAUAACCGUUGGAAACGACUGCUAAUCCAGAAUACGAUUUGAUUGCCCAGGUGGGAUGAGCUAGUUGGGUAGGUAAUGGCUCACCAAGGCGACGAUCCAUAGCUGUGCUGACAGUACGAUCAGCCACAAUGGAAUUGAGACACGGUCCAGACUCCUACGGGAGGCAGAAGUGGGGAAUAUGUCACAAGGGGGGAAACCUUGAUGCAGCCAUGCCGCGUGUGUGAAGAAGGCCUUCGGGUUGUAAAGCACUUUCAGCGAGGAGGCGUUACUCGCAGAAGAAGCACCGGCUAACUCCGUGCCAGCAGCCGCGGUAAUUC